UUGCCUACGGGACGCAGCAGUAGGGAAUUUUCGUCAAUGGGCGCAAGCCUGAACGAGCAAUGCCGCGUGAACGAGGAAGGUCUUCGGAUCGUAAAGUUCUGUUGAAGGGGAAAAAGAGCGGAGAGAGGAAAUGGUCUCCGAUUGAUAUUACCCUUCGAGGAAGUCACGGCUAACUACGUGCCAGCAGCCGCGGUAAUACGUAGGUGGCGAGCGUUAUCCGGAAUGAUUGGGCGUAAAGGGUGCGUAGACGGGAAAUUAAGUUAGUUGUGAAAUCCCUCGGCUUAACUGAGGAACUGCAACUAAAA
rnacentral:rRNA from 1 species